AAAGUCGCCUGGGGCCUCGGAGAUGAAAGAUGGACCUGAACAGGAGCAGAGACGCAGAGCUGGCCACACAUGGAAGAUGACUCUGCAAACUACCUCUGCCGCCAUUUUCUGGGGACCCGGAGUGGUUCUGGGCAAAAUCCUUCAUCUUGGCUGAAUGAAAAAGAGAAAGAAAGAAAGAAAACAUGACUGGUCCUGGUUUUCGGCGCCAUGUGUAUGAGAAAAAGAAAUAAAAAGAAAGGAAGAGGACUGGUCCCAGGAGGAAAACCAAAUAGCCUUAGAACUCAUGGAAUUUGUCCCACCGGUUAGCACAACCACAUCAAGAGGCAGAACCCCGACUGUCCUGAGGACUUCUUGCUGUUGUGGAGUUUUGCUCUGCUCACCGUCUUCAAGAUCACCACAUCCCUCUUGGUCCGUGAGUUGCAUGAAAACUCCAAAAAGGCUGCCAGCCCCUCACUGGACAGUAUCAUUGGUAUCAAGAAUAGUGAUUGCUCUUUUUCAAGUGUUGCAGCUGGAGCAGAUUACUGAUUCAACCACCACCCUCAGAAAGGACAUAGAGCUGUAGAUUGCUGGUAAUGUCCGGCACUCUUAGAAA
ensembl:lincRNA AI662270 expressed sequence AI662270